rnacentral:rRNA from 1 species
GACGAACGCUGGCGGCGUGCUUAACACAUGCAAGUCGAGCGGUGAAGCUCCAGCUUGCUGGAGUGGAUCAGUGGCGAACGGGUGAGUAACACGUGAGCAACCUGCCCCUGACUCUGGAAUAAGCGCUGGAAACGGCGUCUAAUACUGGAUACGAGAAGGGUCCGCAUGGGCACUUUCUGGAAAGUUUUUCGGUUGGGGAUGGGCUCGCGGCCUAUCAGCUUGUUGGUGAGGUAAUGGCUCACCAAGGCGACGACGGGUAGCCGGCCUGAGAGGGCGACCGGCCACACUGGGACUGAGACACGGCCCAGACUCCUACGGGAGGCAGCAGUGGGGAAUAUUGCACAAUGGGCGAAAGCCUGAUGCAGCGACGCCGCGUGAGGGAUGACGGCCUUCGGGUUGUAAACCUCUUUCAGCAGGGAAGAAGCGAAAGUGACGGUACCUGCAGAAGAAGCACCGGCUAACUACGUG